ACAAUCUGCCUUGCACUAAGGGAUAGCCCAGAGAAAUUUGGAUUAAUAUCUUAUGGUUUAUAAUUAUGGCAUCAUAUUUAUAAUAAAGGUUACGGUGUAAGAUGAGUAUGCGUCCCAUUAGUUUGUUGGUAAGGUAACGGCUUACCAAGACUACGAUGGGUAGGGGCCCUGAGAGGGGGAUCCCCCACACUGGUACUGAGACACGGACCAGACUCCUACGGGAGGCAGCAGUGAGGAAUAUUGGACAAUGGAGGAGACUCUGAUCCAGCCAUGCCGCGUGCAGGAAGACGGUCCUAUGGAUUGUAAACUGCUUUUAUACAGGAAGAAUAAGGACUACGUGUAGUCUGGUGACGGUACUGUAAGAAUAAGGACCGGCUAACUCCGUGCCAGCAGCCGCGGUAAUACGGAGGGUCCGAGCGUUAUCCGGAAUUAUUGGGUUUAAAGGGUCCGUAGGCGGGCUGUUAAGUCAGGGGUGAAAGUUUGCAGCUCAACUGUAGAAUUGCCUUUGAUACUGACGGUCUUGAAUUAUUGUGAAGUGGUUAGAAUAUGUAGUGUAGCGGUGAAAUGCAUAGAUAUUACAUAGAAUACCGAUUGCGAAGGCAGAUCACUAACAAUUGAUUGACGCUGAUGGACGAAAGCGUGGGUAGCGAACAGGAUUAGAUACCCUGGUAGUCCACGCCGUAAACGAUGGAUACUAGCUGUUUGGAUUUCGAUCUGAGCGGCCAAGCGAAAGUGAUAAGUAUCCCACCUGGGGAGUACGUUCGCAAGAAUGAAACUCAAAGGAAUUGACGGGGGCCCGCACAAGCGGUGGAGCAUGUGGUUUAAUUCGAUGAUACGCGAGGAACCUUACCAGGCUUAAAUGUAGAUUGACAGGUUUAGAGAUAGACUUUCCUUCGGGCAAUUUACAGUGCUGCA
rnacentral:rRNA from 1 species